rnacentral:lncRNA from 1 species
GAGUGCCUACAGAUUCCAGAGCAACGACUCAUCUUAACAGCCUGUGAUGCUUGGGAGAGAAUACAUUUGGAAGCAAGGAAGGAGAGAAAGACAUAAAGACAAGGAAGGGGAAGAGAGAAGGCAAUAUCUACGGGAAUUAUCAUCUUGAAGAUUCUUGAUGGCAGAUGAAUUUGCUUCUCAAAUAGAACUCUCAUGCCUGCAUUUCUG